AGUGAACGCUGGCGGUAGGCCUAACACAUGCAAGUCGAACGGCAGCACAGUAAGAGCUUGCUCUUACGGGUGGCGAGUGGCGGACGGGUGAGGAAUACAUCGGAAUCUACUUUUUCGUGGGGGAUAACGUAGGGAAACUUACGCUAAUACCGCAUACGACCUACGGGUGAAAGCAGUGGAUCUUCGGACCUUGCGCGAUUGAAUGAGCCGAUGUCGGAUUAGCUAGUUGGCGGGGUAAAGGCCCACCAAGGCGACGAUCCGUAGCUGGUCUGAGAGGAUGAUCAGCCACACUGGAACUGAGACACGGUCCAGACUCCUACGGGAGGCAGCAGUGGGGAAUAUUGGGCAAUGGGCGAAAGCCUGAUCCAGCCAUACCGCGUGGGUGAAGAAGGUCUUCGGGUUGUAAAGCCCUUUUGUUAGGAAAGAAAAGCAGCAGGUGAAUACCCCGCUGUUCUGACGGUACCCAAAGAAUAAGCACCGGCUAACUUCGUG
rnacentral:rRNA from 1 species